rnacentral:rRNA from 1 species
UCCCAGUUCAGAUUGCAGUCUGCAACUCGACUGCAUGAAGUCGGAAUCGCUGGUAAUCGCGGAUCAGCAUGCCGCGAUGAAUACGUUCCCGGGCCUUGUACACACCGCCCGUCACACCAUGAGAGUCGGGAACACCCGAAGUCCGUAGCCUAACCGCAAGGGGGGCGCGGCCGAAGGUGGGUUCGAUAAUUGGGGUGAAGUCGUAACAAGGUAUC